CUGGAAUAAACAUGACAAUUAAAAAUUAACCUAGCCACCUGAUGAGCUGCCGCUCAGGCGUCUUUCUGACAAGAACAGACUAACAGAACUCAUCUGGGAAGAAAGAGAAGGAAGAAAGUAUUUUUCAGAAGCCCUUCACAUGCCGAGCCUGUGACUGACAUCUGAACCCACCACCCACAAAGGGGACAAAUUUCCACACCUUGAUUCGUUCCCCAAUGCUAGAGGUUUCAUCAGCACUGAAAACGGAAACUGCCUGCAUUCUUCUCAUUUCAAGAAGUAGACAUUUAUUCAGUCCCUAUUUAUGAGGCACUGCAUAUGGAACAGUGAACAACACAAAUCAAAACCUCUACCUUGGAGAGGGAG